rnacentral:rRNA from 1 species
AUUGAACGCUGGCGGCAGGCCUAACACAUGCAAGUCGAGCGGAUGAAGGGAGCUUGCUCCUGGAUUCAGCUGCGGACGGGUGAGUAAUUCCUAGGAAUCUGCCUGGUAUUGGGGGAUAACGUCCGGAAACGGGCGCUAAUACCGCAUACGUCCUGAGGGAGAAAGUGGGGGAUCUUCGGACCUCACGCUAUCAGAUGAGCCUAGGUCGGAUUAGCUAGUUGGUGGGGUAAAGGCCUACCAAGGCGACGAUCCGUAACUGGUCUGAGAGGAUGAUCAGUCACACUGGAACUGAGACACGGUCCAGACUCCUACGGGAGGCAGCAGUGGGGAAUAUUGGACAAUGGGCGAAAGCCUGAUCCAGCCAUGCCGCGUGUGUGAAGAAGGUCUUCGGAUUGUAAAGCACUUUAAGUUGGGAGGAAGGGAAGUAAGUUAAUACAUUGCUGUUUUGACGUUACCAACAGAAUAAGCACCGGCUAACUUCGUG